rnacentral:lncRNA from 1 species
ACCCACUGGGCCAAUGAGUAGAGCCAUCUCUGCCCUCAAAUUUUCUUUCUGAUUCAGCCUCCAACUCUGAAGUGGCAGGAGAGGUGGCCUGCUCAGGAGAGCAAAACACAACUGAGGAGGCGGGCUUUAGGUGAAGAUCUGCUGCAGAACCAUGUGGAAGGGAUAUAAAUAUCCCCCAGGAGGGACUCCAGUGGAAGUAAGCAAGGAUGAUCCUGGUGAAGUAAUGCAGCUGUGAAGCUCACCUGACCAGCUGUACAGUUCCUGUUGUUGGUUUCGCAUAAAG